UACCAGCACCCCGAGUGGUCGGGGCGAUUAUUGGGCCUAAAGCAUCCGUAGCCGGUCAUGCAAGUCCUCCGUUAAAUCCACCUGCUUAACAGAUGGGCCGCGGAGGAUACUACAAGACUAGGAGGCAGGAGAGGCAAGCGGUACUCAGUGGGUAGGGGUAAAAUCCGUUGAUCCAUUGAAGACCACCAGUGGCGAAGGCGGCUUGCCAGAAUGCGCUCGACGGUGAGGGAUGAAAGCUGGGGGAGCAAACCGG
rnacentral:rRNA from 1 species